rnacentral:misc_RNA from 1 species
AAUAAGUGUAUAUAUGAUGAGUAUGAAAAGUGAUGAGUGACAAAUAUCUACAUAUGUACAUAUCAUGCAUGGAAACUCUUUCUAUCAUAAAACGGGAAGGCAAUUAAACGUUGGCAGACGUGCGUUUUUAUUUCAAUGAUUAUUUAUCAAACAAUGAAAGUAUAUAUUGACAAUGCUAGCUUAUAUAAGCAGUUUAUCUUUAUUCAUCAGUGUAUAUUCUAUAUUCUAUCUCGUCUUGUCUAAUGGAUGUCUAAUGGAUCUAAUAGAAGAAAUAUGUAUAGUGAAUUCGAAUAUAUAUACUUCAACGAUUGCGUCCAAUCCAUAUAUGUACGACUGCAAGUAUGUAAAUAGUAAAUAAUAAUUUUUUAUAUUCAUUGUGUUGUUCUGUACAUAUUACAUAUAAUCUAUAGGUUUUCUGAUACUGUGUAUGCGAUUCGUAAAAAUAUUACAUAAUUUCUCAUAAGCUGAUAACACAUUUGCGAUGGAACACAUGAGAAAAAGACAUGUAGCAAUAAAAGUGAAAAUAAAGUAGAUCAACAAAUUGUCUAAUUAUAAGAAAGAAAGUUUGUCGUCUUACUUGUGGAAGUGCAACUACGAUAUUCGCAUUUCCCUCGCCUUUGUAAACACAAUCUCCGAUAAAGGAUGUUGAUGAAAAAGGUGAAAGUUGUGACGUCGUUGUGGAAUCAUCAUCCAAGCUUCCGGUGGAAGUGGUCAUCGAUUCUGAAGAAAAGGUUGCGGUCGGCACAGGAUUUCCUUCAUUGAUUGUCAUUGUUUUAUCUUUAUCCCUCAAAUAAUAGCACGUUGUAUCGCGUCACGUCGGCCCGAGGAGAUUGCAGACCGACUGCAGACUGCAGACGGGAACACGACAAGUACGUGGCAAUCCACAUUCGUAUCCG